AGUGAACGCUGGCGGUAGGCCUAACACAUGCAAGUCGAACGGCAGCACAGUAAGAGCUUGCUCUUACGGGUGGCGCGUGGCGGACGGGUGAGGAAUACAUCGGAAUCUACUUUUUCGUGGGGGAUAACGUAGGGAAACUUACGCUAAUACCGCAUACGACCUACGGGUGAAAGCAGGGGAUCUUCGGACCUUGCGCGAUUGAAUGAGCCGAUGUCGGAUUAGCUAGUUGGCGGGGUAAAGGCCCACCAAGGCGACGAUCCGUAGCUGGUCUGAGAGGAUGAUCAGCCACACUGGAACUGAGACACGGUCCAGACUCCUACGGGAGGCAGCAGUGGGGAAUAUUGGACAAAGGGCGCAAGCCUGAUCCAGCCAUACUGCGUGGGUGAAGAAGGCCUUCGGGCUGUAAAGCCCUUUUGUUGGGAAAGAAAAGCAGCAGGUUAAUACCCCGCUGUUCUGACGGUACCCAAAGAAUAAGCACCGGCUAACUUCGUG
rnacentral:rRNA from 1 species